CAACUCUGAGCGGUGGAUCACUCGGCUCGUGUGUCGAUGAAGAG
rnacentral:rRNA from 1 species